rnacentral:misc_RNA from 1 species
GCUGGUCUGCUUCUGACUAGACUUGUUAUGGCUGAAGUGGCUGCAAAAAUUGCCGAAUCAAGGCCUCAAACAUCUGCAGCAUCAAGAACACCGGCCGUUCCCCAGCUUGAUGUGUGAGUUGCAUAAUGGGGUGAUGGGGGAUUAUAUUUGUGUUGUUUUUGUGUGAUUCUCACUUUCUCAGAGUGUUAAUGAGCUCUGGUGACUAAAAUGAUGAGGAAAAGAACCUCUGAUAGUGGUUGAAGAUGGGAGGGGAUAUUUUUAGACCUUUUCCAUCUAUUCUUCAUGUAUAAGACUA